rnacentral:rRNA from 1 species
GAUGAACGCUAGCGGCAGGCUUAAUACAUGCAAGUUGAGGGGCAGCAUGAUAUACGUAAGUAUAUUGAUGGCGACCGGCGGACGGGUGAGUAAAAAGGUAGGAGACCUACCUCAUACAGGGGGAUAGCAUAGAGAAAUCUGUGGUAAUACCCCAUGAGGUUAUAUGAAUAGAGGCAUAUAAUCAAAGUAUACGAGAGUAUGCGGUAUGAGAUGGGCCUACUGACCAUUAGCUAGUUGGUGAGGUAAGGGCUCACCAAGGCGAAGAUGGUUAGGGGUUUUGAGAGAGAGAUCCCCCACAUUGGAACUGAGAUACGGUCCAGACUCCUACGGGAGGCAGCAGUAGGGAAUAUUGGGCAAUGGGCGAAAGCCUGACCCAGCCAUGCCGCGUGAAGGAAGACGGCCUUAUGGGUUGUAAACUUCUUACUAUACGAAUAGAGGUUAGUACGAGUUACUAAUAGGAAGGUAGUAUAGCAAAAGCAACCGGCUAACUCCGUGCC